CGCGGCAAGACGGAAAGACCCCGUGAACCUUUACUAUAGCUUGACACUGAACAUUGAGCCUUGAUGUGUAGGAUAGGUGGGAGGCUUUGAAGUGUGGACGCCAGUCUGCAUGGAGCCGACCUUGAAAUACCACCCUUUAAUGUUUGAUGUUCUAACGUUGGCCCGUAAUCCGGGUUGCGGACAGUGUCUGGUGGGUAGUUUGACUGGGGCGGUCUCCUCCUAAAGAGUAACGGAGGAGCACGAAGGUUGGCUAAUCCUGGUCGGACAUCAGGAGGUUAGUGCAAUGGCAUAAGCCAGCUUGACUGCGAGCGUGACGGCGCGAGCAGGUGCGAAAGCAGGUCAUAGUGAUCCGGUGGUUCUGAAUGGAAGGGCCAUCGCUCAACGGAUAAAAGGUACUCCGGGGAUAACAGGCUGAUACCGCCCAAGAGUUCAUAUCGACGGCGGUGUUUGGCACCUCGAUGUCGGCUCAUCACAUCCUGGGGCUGAAGUAGGUCCCAAGGGUAUGGCUGUUCGCCAUUUAAAGUGGUACGCGAGCUGGGUUUAGAACGUCGUGAGACAGUUCGGUCCCUAUCUGCCGUGGGCGCUGGAGAACUGAGGGGGGCUGCUCCUAGUACGAGAGGACCGGAGUGGACGCAUCACUGGUGUUCGGGUUGUCAUGCCAAUGGCACUGCCCGGUAGCUAAAUGCGGAAGAGAUAAGUGCUGAAAGCAUCUAAGCACGAAACUUGCCCCGAGAUGAGUUCUCCCUGAGACUUAGAGUCUCCUGAAGGAACGUUGAAGACGACGACGUUGAUAGGCCGGGUGUGUAAGCGCAGCGAUGCGUUGAGCUAACCGGUACUAAUGAACCGUGAGGCUUAACCUUACAACGCCGAAG
rnacentral:rRNA from 1 species